GCGGACGUGGCCGAGUGGUUAAGGCGAUUGACUAGAAAUCAAUUGGGCUCUGCCCGCGUAGGUUCGAAUCCUACCGUUCGCG